UAAAAAUCAAUGACGAGAAGAGUAAGAUAAGAUCCCUGUUCUACAGAGAGUCGGUAUUUGGUGAAAGCCGGCGUCCAGGUCUUGUCCGAAGGUCAUCUCUGAGAUUCAAAGCUGAAAUUCAGUAAGCUUUGACGGAUUGUCCGCCGUUAUGAUGGACCACGUAUAAUUUUACGUUGACUGAGAGCUGCAGGUUAGUUUUGAAAGCUGCGGAAUUAGGGUGGUAACGCGAGCGCAAACUCGUCCCUACA
rnacentral:ncRNA from 1 species